GACGUAGGGUCCAAGCGUUGUCCGGAUUUACUGGGCGUAAAAAGCGCGUAGGCGGUCUGUUAAGUGUAGAGUGAAAUCUCUGGGCUCACCCCAGAAACUGCUCUGCAUACUGGCAGACUUGAGGGAUGCAGAGGUUUGUGGAAUUCCUGGUGUAGCGGUGAAAUGCGUUGAUAUCAGGAGGAACACCCAUGGCGAAGGCAGCAAACUGGGCAUCAUCUGACGCUGAGGCGCGAAAGCGUGGGUAGCAAACAGG
rnacentral:rRNA from 1 species